rnacentral:rRNA from 1 species
AUUGAACGCUGGCGGCAGGCCUAACACAUGCAAGUCGAAUGGUAACAGGAAACAGCUUCUGUUUCGCUGACGAGUGGCGGACGGGUGAGUAAUGUCUGGGAAACUGCCUGAUGGAGGGGGAUAACUACUGGAAACGGUAGCUAAUACCGCAUAACGUCGCAAGACCAAAGAGGGGGACCUUCGGGCCUCUUGCCAUCAGAUGUGCCCAGAUGGGAUUAGCUAGUAGGUGGGGUAACGGCUCACCUAGGCGACGAUCCCUAGCUGGUCUGAGAGGAUGACCAGCCACACUGGAACUGAGACACGGUCCAGACUCCUACGGGAGGCAGCAGUGGGGAAUAUUGCACAAUGGGCGCAAGCCUGAUGCAGCCAUGCCGCGUGUAUGAAGAAGGCCUUCGGGUUGUAAAGUACUUUCAGCGGGGAGGAAGGGAGUAAAGUUAAUACCUUUGCUCAUUGAUGUUACCCGCAGAAGAAGCACCGGCUAACUCCGUG